UACGGAAGGCAGCAGUGGGGAAUAUUGCACAAUGGGCGAAAGCCUGAUGCAGCUAUGCCGCGUGUAUGAAGAAGGCCUUAGGGUUGUAAAGUACUUUCAUCGGGGAGGAAAAAACAAAACUAAUAAUUUUAUUUCUUGACGUUACCCGAAAAAGAAGCACCGGCUAACUCCGUGCCAGCAGCCGCGGUAAUACGGAGGGUGCUAGCGUUAAUCAGAAUUACUGGGCGUAAAGAGCACGUAGGUGGUUUUUUUAAGUCAGAUGUGAAUCCCUGGGCUUAACCUAGGAACUGCAUUUUGAAACUGAAAUACUAGAGUAUCGUAGAGGGAGGUAGAAUUCUAGGUGUAGCGGUGAAAUGCGUAGAUAUCUGGAGGAAUACCUGUGGCGAAAGCGGCCUCCUAAACGAAUACUGACACUGAGGUGCGAAAGCGUGGGGAGCAAACAGGGAUUAGAUACC
rnacentral:rRNA from 1 species